GACCUGCGGAAGGAUCAUUAGUGAAUAUAGGACGUCCAACUUAACUUGGAGUCCGAACUCUCACUUUCUAACCCUGUGCACUUGUUUGGGAUAGUAACUCUCGCAAGAGAGCGAACUCCUAUUCACUUAUAAACACAAAGUCUAUGAAUGUAUUAAAUUUUAUAACAAAAUAAAACUUUCAACAACGGAUCUCUUGGCUCUCGCAUCGAUGAAGAACGCAGCGAAAUGCGAUAAGUAAUGUGAAUUGCAGAAUUCAGUGAAUCAUCGAAUCUUUGAACGCACCUUGCGCUCCAUGGUAUUCCGUGGAGCAUGCCUGUUUGAGUGUCAUGAAUACUUCAACCCUCCUCUUUCUUAAUGAUUGAAGAGGUGUUUGGUUUCUGAGCGCUGCUGGCCUUUACGGUCUAGCUCGUUCGUAAUGCAUUAGCAUCCGCAAUCGAACUUCGGAUUGACUUGGCGUAAUAGACUAUUCGCUGAGGAAUUCUAGUCUUCGGACUAGAGCCGGGUUGGGUUAAAGGAAGCUUCUAAUCAGAAUGUCUACAUUUUAAGAUUAGAUCUCAAAUCAGGUAGGACUACCCGCUGAACUUAAGCAUAUCAAUAGGCCGGAAGAAAAGACUAGUGAUAUGGACGUCCAACUUAACUUGGAGUCGAACUCUCCUUUCUACCCUGUGCACUUGUUUGGGAUAGUAACUCUGCAAGAGAGCGAACUCUAUUCCUUAU
rnacentral:rRNA from 1 species